rnacentral:sRNA from 1 species
UAUACUGGUUUGGUUUUUAUACGUAGUGC